rnacentral:rRNA from 1 species
GAUGAACGCUGGCGGCGUGCCUAAUACAUGCAAGUCGAACGCGCAGCGAAAGGUGCUUGCACCUUUCAAGCGAGUGGCGAACGGGUGAGUAACACGUGGAUAACCUGCCUCAAGGCUGGGGAUAACAUUUGGAAACAGAUGCUAAUACCGAAUAAAACUUAGUAUCGCAUGAUACAAAGUUGAAAGGCGCUACGGCGUCACCUAGAGAUGGGUCCGCGGUGCAUUAGUUAGUUGGUGGGGUAAAGGCCUACCAAGACAAUGAUGCAUAGCCGAGUUGAGAGACUGAUCGGCACAUUGGGACUGAGACACGGCCCAAAUCCUACGGGAGGCUGCAGUAGGGAAUCUUCCCACAAAUGGGCGAAAGCCUGAUGGAGCAACGCCGCGUGUGUGAUGAAGGCUUUA